UAGGGAAUCUUCCACAAUGGACGAAAGUCUGAUGGAGCAACGCCGCGUGAGUGAAGAAGGGUUUCGGCUCGUAAAACUCUGUUGUUAAAGAAGAACAUAUCUGAGAGUAACUGUUCAGGUAUUGACGGUAUUUAACCAGAAAGCCACGGCUAACUACGUGCCAGCAGCCGCGGUAAUACGUAGGUGGCAAGCGUUGUCCGGAUUUAUUGGGCGUAAAGCGAGCGCAGGCGGUUUUUUAAGUCUGAUGUGAAAGCCUUCGGCUCAACCGAAGAAGUGCAUCGGAAACUGGGAAACUUGAGUGCAGAAGAGGACAGUGGAACUCCAUGUGUAGCGGUGAAAUGCGUAGAUAUAUGGAAGAACACCAGUGGCGAAGGCGGCUGUCUGGUCUGUAACUGACGCUGAGGCUCGAAAGUAUGGGUAGCAAACA
rnacentral:rRNA from 2 species